GGGGUUGUGGCUCCGUGGUAGAGCGUUCAUCUGGCAUGUAUGAGGCACUGAGUUCGAUCCUCAGCACCACA
rnacentral:tRNA from 1 species